GAGUUUGAUCCUGGCUCAGAACGAACGCUGGCGGCAGGCUUAACACAUGCAAGUCGAGCGCCCCGCAAGGGGAGCGGCAGACGGGUGAGUAACGCGUGGGAACGUACCCUUUGCUACGGAAUAACUCCGGGAAACUGGAACUAAUACCGUAUGUGCCCUUCGGGGGAAAGAUUUAUCGGCAAGGGAUCGGCCCGCGUUGGAUUAGCUAGUUGGUGGGGUAAAGGCCUACCAAGGCGACGAUCCAUAGCUGGUCUGAGAGGAUGAUCAGCCACACUGGGACUGAGACACGGCCCAGACUCCUACGGGAGGCAGCAGUGGGGAAUAUUGGACAAUGGGCGCAAGCCUGAUCCAGCCAUGCCGCGUGAGUGAUGAAGGCCCUAGGGUUGUAAAGCUCUUUCACCGGUGAAGAUAAUGACGGUAACCGGAGAAGAAGCCCCGGCUAACUUCGUGCCAGCAGCCGCGGUAAUACGAAGGGGGCUAGCGUUGUUCGGAAUUACUGGGCGUAAAGCGCACGUAGGCGGGUAUUUAAGUCAGGGGUGAAAUCCCAGAGCUCAACUCUGGAACUGCCUUUGAUACUGGGUACCUAGAGUAUGGAAGAGGUGAGUGGAAUUC
rnacentral:rRNA from 2 species